GAGGAGAAAAAGAAAUUGAAGUCGACGAACGAGAUGGAGUCGGUGCUCUCAAUAUGUGCUCGUCUCGUCCUCGAAGAAUCUCGUCGUCGCCUCGUCCUAAUUCUGAAGAACUCCGACCCCGAAAAAAUCUCCGAUUUCUGAAAUUUUUUGUCAAUAAUUCGUUACAACUUUGGAGUCUUUUUCUGGGCUUUCUCGACUUUGCUUGUUUUGAUUCUAAUGUGUCUCCUACGUGCGACAUCGGCUCUUCACAGACUUCCUUGCUCUGUUCUAAUCACGUUUUGUCUUUGUGACUUUGUGUGUUCUGUGUUAAGAGCUGCUGUACUGAGAUCAUCUGAAGAAAUCAUUAAUAGCAGGAGCUAGUUGCAAGAAGAAUUAGGACAAGGCGACGAAGGUUUAAGUAAUAACCAUGAAUGUUCAGGCUCACAUGUCGGGACAACAACGAUCUGGGCAGUCUCCAAACCAAGGGAAUAACGGGAACUCUCAAAUGUAGAACUUAGUUGCUGCUUCGGCUGGUGCUGGUUGGUAGCGUAGGGCCUUCACGUAGCACCGUUGGUCCGAUGGACCAUGAUAUCUAAGACGUUCUUCUUUGUUGAGCUCGAUCCUCAGUGGGCUGGAAUAUGCAAUGGCAUGGCUGCUGGUGUGAUGUUGGCCGCUAGCUUUGAUCUUGUGAACAUGUUGUGUAUCACGGGAUGUAUUUGUGAUGAAGUGUAGAGUCACAUGCUUGUAGUCUUGUUGUGAACAUGUUGUGUUGUAUCACGGGAUGUAUUUGUGAUGAAGUGUUGAGUCACAAAAUCUUUAUAAAUAAUGUAUUCAAAGCAUUGUUUUCGAUCAUAAACCACAAUCUGAAACAUUUCUUUCAUCACAAA